rnacentral:rRNA from 1 species
AACGAACGCUGGCGGCGCGCCUAAUACAUGCAAGUCGAGCGAGAAGACGUAGCAAUACGUUUGUAAAGCGGCGAACGGGUGAGGAAUACAUGGGUAACCUACCCUCGAGUGGGGAAGUAACUAGCCGAAAGGUUAGCUAAUACCGCGUACGCUCCUUGGACUUCGGUUCAGGGAGGAAAGCGAUACCGUGGGUAUCGCGCUCUUGGAUGGGCUCAUGUCCUAUCAGCUUGUUGGUGAGGUAACGGCUCACCAAGGCUUCGACGGGUAGCUGGUCUGAGAGGACGAUCAGCCACACUGGCACUGCGACACGGGCCAGACUCCUACGGGAGGCAGCAGUAAGGAAUAUUGCGCAAUGGGCGAAAGCCUGACGCAGCGACGCCGCGUGGGGGGA